rnacentral:rRNA from 1 species
CCUACGGGCGGCAGCAGUGGGGAAUAUUGGGCAAUGGAGGCAAGUCUGACCCAGCAAUGCCGCGUGAAUGAAGAAGGUCUUCGGAUUGUAAAGCUCUUUAAUUAGGGAAGAAAAAAAUGACGGUACCCAAUGAAUACGCCUCCGUUAACGACGUGGCAGCAGCCGCGGUAAUACGUAAGGGGCAAGCGUAGUGCGGAAUGUAUUGGUGUCAAGGUUGUGUAGGUGGGGUUGGAAAGUAGAAGGGGAAUACCUGGGGCUCAACUAUGGAGCUGCUCCUGAAACUGCUAUACUUGAGUGCAGUAGAGGAAAGUGGAAUUCGUGGUGUAGCGGGGGAAUGCGUAGAUAUUAGGAGGAACACCAGUGGCGAAGGCGACUUUCUGGACUGUAACUGACGCUGAGGCACGAAAGUGUGGGGAGCAAACAGGAUUAGAUACCCGGGUAGUC